rnacentral:rRNA from 1 species
GACGAACGCUGGCGGCGUGCUUAACACAUGCAAGUCGAACGAUGAAGCCUAGCUUGCUAGGUGGAUUAGUGGCGAACGGGUGAGUAAUACGUGAGUAACCUACCUUUAACUCUGGGAUAAGCCUGGGAAACUGGGUCUAAUACCGGAUACGACCAAUCUCCGCAUGGGGUGUUGGUGGAAAGCGUUAUGUAGUGGUUAUAGAUGGGCUCACGGCCUAUCAGCUUGUUGGUGAGGUAACGGCUCACCAAGGCGACGACGGGUAGCCGGCCUGAGAGGGUGACCGGCCACACUGGGACUGAGACACGGUCCAGACUCCUACGGGAGGCAGCAGUGGGGAAUAUUGCACAAUGGGCGCAAGCCUGAUGCAGCGACGCCGCGUGAGGGAUGACGGCCUUCGGGUCGUAAACCUCUGUUAGCAGGGAAGAAGAGAGAUUGACGGUACCUGCAGAGAAAGCGCCGGCUAACUACGUG